UACGGAGGGUGCAAGCGUUAUCCGGAAUGAUUGGGCGUAAAGCGUCCGCAGGUGGCUUUGUAAGUCUGCUGUUAAAGAGUGAGGCUCAACCUCAUAAGAGCAGUGGAAACUACAAGGCUAGAGUACGUUCGGGGCAGAGGGAAUUCCUGGUGUAGCGGUGAAAUGCGUAGAGAUCAGGAAGAACACCGGUGGCGAAAGCGCUCUGCUAGGCCGUAACUGACACUGAGGGACGAAAGCUAGGGGAGCGAAUGGG
rnacentral:rRNA from 1 species